rnacentral:rRNA from 1 species
CGCGGCCUAUCAGCUUGUUGGUGGGGUAACGGCCUACCAAGGCGAUGACGGGUAGCUGACGUGAGAGCGUGAUCAGCCACAUUGGGACUGAGACACGGCCCAGACUCCCACGGGAGGCAGCAGUGGGGAAUAUUGCGCAAUGGACGAAAGUCUGACGCAGCGACGCCGCGUGGGGGAGGAAGGCCUUAGGGUCGUAAACCCCUGUCAGAUGGGACGAACCGUAGGUCGAUUAAUACUUGGCUUACCUGACGGUACCAUCAGAGGAAGCUCCGGCUAACUCCGUGCCAGCAGCCGCGGUAAUACGGAGGGAGCAAGCGUUGUUCGGAAUUACUGGGCGUAAAGGGCGCGUAGGCGGCCUAGUAAGUCGAGUGUGAAAUGCCGGGGCUCAACUCCGUGCACUGCAUUCGAUACUGCCUGGCUGGAGAAAGGUAGAGGCGAGCGGAAUUCCCGGUGUAGCGGUGGAAUGCGUAGAUAUCGGGAAGAACACCUGUGGCGAAGGCGGCUCGCUGGGCCUUUUCUGACGCUGAAGCGCGAAAGCGUGGGGAGCAAACAGGAUUAGAUACCCUGGUAGUCCACGCCGUAAACGCUGGGUACUGGGUGUCGGGAGGCUUGGCCCUCUCGGUGUCGACCCUAACGGAUUAAGUACCCCGCCUGGGGAGUACGG